CUCCAACUUUCUCAAUCUCCUCCCUCUCUCUCCAACGCAUCUCCGCCGUUUCUUCUAUCUCCUUCACAUCAUCGUUUUGCUUGGACCUCCAUUGCAGCAACUGUGAAACACCGAAGGAAUUCGAGGCUCCUCUCCAUAGGAAAUGGUUUAUUUAUGUUUAAAGUGGCUAGGAGAUGUAUUGGUGUGAAUUUUUUUGGGCUGGAAAUAAAUAAGAAGCUUGUGAAACGAUGUCUAGAUUUUGUUCAACAAUAGCGCUUGAAGAAUGUGUGAGUGCUUUUUUUUAAAAGCAUGGUUAAUCUGGAUCUUUUUACUAGAUGUAACAUAGACUUCUCUAUUACUUCUCUGCGUUUCCUUUCUAGUCCGGUACAUUGUACUUUCAUAAAAGAUGCAUGUUGAGACUGAACUCUAAUCUAGCCUAAUGAUAAAAAAGAUUGCUGGAUUGGUAAGCAUUUUCUGGCAUUGGGAUUCUUGAAGUAAUAGUUGAUUUGCUUUGACUGAGGUGACCUUCUAGAAAAUCUCUCUCUAAGCUUUGACUGAGGUGACCUUCUCUAACUCCACUCAAAAUCCACCAACAUCUUUAACAUGUACUUCUCGUUAGUGUAUACAUGUUCAUUUCUUUAAUACUAAUGCAAGUUACGCAAGGGCUGUUGAUCUUCUAUUCAUCUAAAAACUCAUUAUCUCUAGUGUAUUGGAAUCCUUGCCAUAAUAAAUGAUGCUCACAUAAUUGUAAUUUCAGCAUUAAUUCUGUCAUUUGUUAUAGAAGAAUCAUGUGAACUCUAGUCAAAGCUCAUAUGUAUUAAAAAAAUUUGAGUAACAUGGUAUAUUAUCAUUAUUUAGUUUAUUUGAGUAAAUUAAGCUUAAAAAUAAGAUCCUUGGGCAGUUUUGAGGUUAUUUUAGCAUGUUGUCCUUGUUGAUAGAUAUCAACUUACUGGUGGGCCGCAUAUCUGGUUGUAGGACCAAAUUGAUUGUUGGACAAGGGAUCUCACAGUGGAAGAAAAUCUCCACUGAAGAAAAUCUUCUUCUUCUUUCCUUACUUUCUUUCAUGAUUGUAACCUUGUCACUGUUCUACUGUGGAGUAGGGUGCUAUUAAUGCAGCUUUUGUGGAGGCCAUCAAGCCCCAUGUUCAAGCACUCUGGAGCAAUCCUUAUGGGAAGAAAGUCCUUUCAAGCAAGAGCUUGAAGAAGUAAUUUAUGCUGUUGCAGGAAGUUCUGCAAGCUUCAAGGGAAUCCUAUAUGUACUAAUGCAAAUGAAGUCAACAUAAUCAAGUUCUGUGGGUCUUAGAAUGGAAAUGGAGUGACACCUGGAGGCUCAACAAACGCCACACCCAUUUGUCCCACUCUAGCAUGCCGUGCAGAUUUCAAUUUUGAAUGUUUCAGAAUCUUGUCUUUUUUUUUUUUAAUGAAAUAAAAGUCUCUCGUGGUGCUUAUGAAGAACCUACAGGUAAUGUGUCAAAUUUUGAAAAACCUUUCAGGCAUGGUCCAAGCCUUGGAUGUUGAACUUUUAAAAGAAAGUCAUUGUGUGACAUUUGAAUGACAUGGGUGAUUUAGAAACUCUCAGCCAUGAGCCAUAUGAGUCCUCUUUGCUGGUAGAAAAUGAUGAAAAGAACUCAGUUGGUAAUUUCAAGAGCCCCAUGGAUGCUAAUAAAAAGCGUAAAAGGCGAAGUAUUGCCAGAUUGGCAAAGGUAACUUCUUUCGUUUCUUGUCUUUAUAAUAAAUUUGCAGUGGUUCUGUUUUGUUUUUGGAAUUAAGUGUUGGCUGUUACGUACAAUAGCUGUCAGUGUUGGAGAACCUUGGGUAACAACAUUUAAUCAAUCACAUCUUUAUGUGUUGGUUGGAGAUGUCUUUCUUGUCCACCUUUUAUUCUUGGACGAAAUUUUGUUACUAGUUAAAUAUUAAUGCUCCCAAUUCUUGGACCUUGUUACCACUUCAAUCAUGUUAGAGUCAAAACCGGUUUGCUUCUACCUCUUGAACUGACCAUUGUUGUUGCCAUUGAGAGCU